rnacentral:rRNA from 1 species
CGGUUAAGUUAGAAAGGGCGCACGGUGAAUGCCUUGGCACUAGGAGCCGAUGAAGGACGGGACGAACACCGAUAUGCUUCGGGGAGCUGUAAGCAAGCUUUGAUCCGGAGAUUUCCGAAUGGGGAAACCCACCACUCGUAAUGGAGUGGUAUCCAUAUCUGAAUACAUAGGAUAUGAGAAGGCAGACCCGGGGAACUGAAACAUCUAAGUACCCGGAGGAAGAGAAAGCAAAUGCGAUUCCCUGAGUAGCGGCGAGCGAAACGGGACCAGCCCAAACCAAGAGGCUUGCCUCUUGGGGUUGUAGGACACUCUGUACGGAGUUACAAAGGAACGAGGUAGAUGAAGAGGUCUGGAAAGGCCCGCCAUAGGAGGUAACAGCCCUGUAGUCAAAACUUCGUUCUCUCCUGAGUGGAUCCUGAGUACGGCGGAACACGUGAAAUUCCGUCGGAAUCCGGGAGGACCAUCUCCCAAGGCUAAAUACUCCCUAGUGACCGAUAGUGAACCAGUACCGUGAGGGAAAGGUGAAAAGCACCCCGGAAGGGGAGUGAAAGAGAUCCUGAAACCGUGUGCCUACAAGUAGUCAGAGCCCGUUAACGGGUGAUGGCGUGCCUUUUGUAGAAUGAACCGGCGAGUUACGAUCCCGUGCAAGGUUAAGCAGAAGAUGCGGAGCCGCAGCGAAAGCGAGUCUGAAUAGGGCGAAUUGAGUACGUGGUCGUAGACCCGAAACCAGGUGAUCUACCCAUGUCCAGGGUGAAGUUCAGGUAACACUGAAUGGAGGCCCGAACCCACGCACGUUGAAAAGUGCGGGGAUGAGGUGUGGGUAGGGGUGAAAUGCCAAUCGAACCUGGAGAUAGCUGGUUCUCUCCGAAAUAGCUUUAGGGCUAGCCUCAAGGUAAGAGUCUCGGAGGUAGAGCACUGAUUGGACUAGGGGCCCCUACCGGGUUACCGAAUUCAGUCAAACUCCGAAUGCCGAUGACUUAUCCUUGGGAGUCAGACUGCGAGUGAUAAGAUCCGUAGUCGAAAGGGAAACAGCCCAGACCGCCAGCUAAGGUCCCAAAGUAUACGUUAAGUGGAAAAGGAUGUGGAGUUGCUUAGACAACCAGGAUGUUGGCUUAGAAGCAGCCACCAUUUAAAGAGUGCGUAAUAGCUCACUGGUCGAGUGACUCUGCGCCGAAAAUGUACCGGGGCUAAACGUAUCACCGAAGCUGCGGACUGUUCUUCGAACAGUGGUAGGAGAGCGUUCUAAGGGCUGUGAAGCAAGACCGGAAGGACUUGUGGAGCGCUUAGAAGUGAGAAUGCCGGUAUGAGUAGCGAAAGAGGGGUGAGAAUCCCCUCCACCGAAUGCCUAAGGUUUCCUGAGGAAGGCUCGUCCGCUCAGGGUUAGUCGGGACCUAAGCCGAGGCCGAAAGGCGUAGGCGAUGGAUAACAGGUUGAUAUUCCUGUACCACCUCCUCACCAUUUGAGCAAUGGGGGGACGCAGGAGGAUAGGGUAAGCGCGGUAUUGGAUAUCCGCGUCCAAGCAGUUAGGCUGGGAAAUAGGCAAAUCCGUUUCCCGUGAAGGCUGAGCUGUGAUGGCGAGCGAAUUAUAGUAGCGAAGUUCCUGAUUCCACACUGCCAAGAAAAGCCUCUAGCGAGGUGAGAGGUGCCCGUACCGCAAACCGACACAGGUAGGCGAGGAGAGAAUCCUAAGGUGAUCGAGAGAACUCUCGUUAAGGAACUCGGCAAAAUGACCCCGUAACUUCGGGAGAAGGGGUGCUCUGUUAGGGUGCAAGCCCGAGAGAGCCGCAGUGAAUAGGCCCAGGCGACUGUUUAGCAAAAACACAGGUCUCUGCGAAGCCGUAAGGCGAAGUAUAGGGGCUGACGCCUGCCCGGUGCUGGAAGGUUAAGAGGAGCGCUUAGCGUAAGCGAAGGUGCGAAUUGAAGCCCCAGUAAACGGCGGCCGUAACUAUAACGGUCCUAAGGUAGCGAAAUUCCUUGUCGGGUAAGUUCCGACCCGCACGAAAGGCGCAACGAUCUGGGCACUGUCUCAACGAGAGACUCGGUGAAAUUAUAGUACCUGUGAAGAUGCAGGUUACCCGCGACAGGACGGAAAGACCCCGUGGAGCUUUACUGCAGCCUGAUAUUGAAUGUUGGUACAGCUUGUACAGGAUAGGUAGGAGCCUUGGAAACCGGAGCGCCAGCUUCGGUGGAGGCAUCGGUGGGAUACUACCCUGGCUGUAUUGACCUUCUAACCCGCCGCCCUUAUCGGGCGGGGAGACAGUGUCAGGUGGGCAGUUUGACUGGGGCGGUCGCCUCCUAAAAGGUAACGGAGGCGCCCAAAGGUUCCCUCAGAAUGGUUGGAAAUCAUUCGCAGAGUGUAAAGGCACAAGGGAGCUUGACUGCGAGACCUACAAGUCGAGCAGGGACGAAAGUCGGGCUUAGUGAUCCGGUGGUUCCGCAUGGAAGGGCCAUCGCUCAACGGAUAAAAGCUACCCCGGGGAUAACAGGCUUAUCUCCCCCAAGAGUCCACAUCGACGGGGAGGUUUGGCACCUCGAUGUCGGCUCAUCGCAUCCUGGGGCUGUAGUCGGUCCCAAGGGUUGGGCUGUUCGCCCAUUAAAGCGGUACGCGAGCUGGGUUCAGAACGUCGUGAGACAGUUCGGUCCCUAUCCGUCGCGGGCGCAGGAAAUUUGAGAGGAGCUGUCCUUAGUACGAGAGGACCGGGAUGGACGCACCGCUGGUGUACCAGUUGUUCUGCCAAGGGCAUCGCUGGGUAGCUAUGUGCGGACGGGAUAAGUGCUGAAAGCAUCUAAGCAUGAAGCCCCCCUCAAGAUGAGAUUUCCCAUUCCGCAAGGAAGUAAGAUCCCUGAAAGAUGAUCAGGUUGAUAGGUCUGAGGUGGAAGUGUGGCGACACAUGGAGCUGACAGAUACUAAUCGAUCGAGGACUUAACCAAUUU